AGAGAUUGAACUGAAGAGUUUGAUCCUGGCUCAGAUUGAACGCUGGCGGAAUGCUUUACACAUGCAAGUCGAACGGCAG
rnacentral:rRNA from 1 species